GACGAACGCUGGCGGCGUGCUUAACACAUGCAAGUCGAACGGAAAGGCCCCUUUGGGGGUCCUCGAGUGGCGCACGGGUGAGUAACACGUGAGUAACCUGCCCUUGACUUCGGGAUAACUUCAGGAAACUGGGGCUAAUACCGGAUAGGAAUCCUUGCUGCAUGGUGGGGGUUGGAAAGCUUCGGCGGUUUUGGAUGGACUCGCGGCUUAUCAGCUUGUUGGUGGGGUAGUGGCUUACCAAGGCUUUGACGGGUAGCCGGCCUGAGAGGGCGACCGGCCACAUUGGGACUGAGAUACGGCCCAGACUCCUACGGGAGGCAGCAGUGGGGAAUAUUGCACAAUGGGCGGAAGCCUGAUGCAGCAACGCCGCGUGCGGGAUGACGGCCUUCGGGUUGUAAACCGCUUUCAGCAGGGGCGAAGCUUGUGGUGACGGUACCUGCAGAAGAAGCACCGGCUAACUACGU
rnacentral:rRNA from 1 species